rnacentral:rRNA from 1 species
AGAGUUUGAUCCUGGCUCAGGAUGAACGCUGGCGGCGUGCCUAACACAUGCAAGUCAAACGAAGCGCCUGGCCCCGACUUCUUCGGAACGAGGAGCCUUGCGACUGAGUGGCGGACGGGUGAGUAACGCGUGGGCAACCUGCCUUGCACUGGGGGAUAACAGCCAGAAAUGGCUGCUAAUACCGCAUAAGACCGAAGCGCCGCAUGGCGCGGCGGCCAAAGCCCCGGCGGUGCAAGAUGGGCCCGCGUCUGAUUAGGUAGUUGGCGGGGUAACGGCCCACCAAGCCGACGAUCAGUAGCCGACCUGAGAGGGUGACCGGCCACAUUGGGACUGAGACACGGCCCAGACUCCUACGGGAGGCAGCAGUGGGGGAUAUUGCACAAUGGGGGAAACCCUGAUGCAGCGACGCCGCGUGAAGGAUGAAGUAUUUCGGUAUGUAAACUUCUAUCAGCAGGGAAGAAGAUGACGGUACCUGACUAAGAAGCCCCGGCUAACUACGUGCCAGCAGCCGCGGUAAUACGUAGGGGGCUAGCGUUAUCCGGAAUUACUGGGCGUAAAGGGUGCGUAGGUGGUUUCUUAAGUCAGAGGUGAAAGGCUACGGCUCAACCGUAGUAAGCCUUUGAAACUGGGAAACUUGAGUGCAGGAGAGGAGAGUGGAAUUCCUAGUGUAGCGGUGAAAUGCGUAGAUAUUAGGAGGAACACCAGUGGCGAAGGCGGCUUGCUGGGCUUUUACUGACGCUGAGGCUCGAAAGCGUGGGGAGCAAACAGGAUUAGAUACCCUGGUAGUCCACGCCGUAAACGAUGAUUACUAGGUGUGGGGGGAUUGACCCCUUCCGUGCCGGAGUAAACACAAUAAGUAAUCCACCUGGGGAGUACGACCGCAAGGUUGAAACUCAAAGGAAUUGACGGGGGCCCGCACAAGCAGUGGAGUAUGUGGUUUAAUUCGACGCAACGCGAAGAACCUUACCAGGUCUUGACAUCAAGUGACAGUCUAAGAGAUUAGGCCUUCCCUUCGGGGACACAAAGACAGGUGGUGCAUGGUUGUCGUCAGCUCGUGUCGUGAGAUGUUGGGUUAAGUCCCGCAACGAGCGCAACCCUUAUCAUUAGUUGCUACGCAAGAGCACUCUAAUGAGACUGCCGUUGACAAAACGGAGGAAGGUGGGGAUGACGUCAAAUCAUCAUGCCCUUUAUGUCUAGGGCUACACACGUGCUACAAUGGCAAGUACAAAGAGACGCAAUACCGCGAGGUGGAGCAAAACUCAAAAACUUGUCUCAGUUCGGAUUGUAGGCUGAAACUCGCCUACAUGAAGCUGGAGUUGCUAGUAAUCGCGAAUCAGCAUGUCGCGGUGAAUACGUUCCCGGGCCUUGCACACACCGCCCGUCA